rnacentral:rRNA from 1 species
CAAUGCAUGUGUAAGUAUAAGCGUUAUACGGCGAAACUGCGAAUGGCUCAUUAAAUCAGUCAUAAUUUACUUGACAAUGGCUUCUACAUGGAUAACCGUGGCAAUUCUAGAGCUAAUACAUGCGUAAAGGCUGGACUCACGUUCAGCUGGUUUUAUUAGAUACGAUACCAACCCUUUGGUUGUGAUGAAUCAUGGUAACUGAUCGGAUCGCUCUGCGAUGAGUCAUCCAAGUCUCUGCCCUAUCAGCUCUCGAUGGUAGUGUAUUGGACUACCAUGGCAGUCACGGGUAACGGAGAAUUAGGGUUCGGUUCCGGAGAGGGAGCCUGAGAAACGGCUACCACAUCUAAGGAAGGCAGCAGGCGCGUAAAUUACCCAAUCCCGACUCGGGGAGGUAGUGACAAGAAAUAACAACUCGGGGUGAAUAACUUUCGAGAUUGCAAUGAUCGUAAAGUAGACAUAUUUGAAAGAAACAAUUGGAGGGCAAGUCUGGUGCCAGCAGCCGCGGUAAUUCCAGCUCCAAUAGCGUAUAUUAAAGUUGUUGCAGUUAAAAAGCUCGUAGUUGAACUUCUGUGUUUCGUUUGAGGAUUCGUCCGGAAAACGGGAUACAUCCGUCUGCAGCAGGAUUCGUCCUGGGGGCAGACAGUUUACCUUGAGAAAAUUAGAGUGUUCCAGGCAGGCGUAGUCCGGAAUACAUUAGCAUGGAAUAAUGGAAGAUGUCUCGGAUCCGUUGUUGGUUGGGUGAAGAGAAAUGAUGAAUAGGGACAGUCGGGGGCAUUAGUAUUUAAUUGUCAGAGGUGAAAUUCUUGGAUUUAUUAAAGACUGACUUCUGCGAAAGCAUUUGCCAAGGAUGUUUUCAUUGAUCAAGAACGAAAGUUAGGGGAUCAAAGACGAUCAGAUACCGUCCUAGUCUUAACUAUAAACUUUACCGACUCGGGAUCAGGUGGGAUCUUAUGCCCGCUUGGCACCGUACGAGAAAUCAAAGUCUUUGGGUUCUGGGGGGAGUAUGGUCGCAAGGCUGAAACUUAAAGGAAUUGACGGAAGGGCACCACCAGGAGUGGAGCCUGCGGCUUAAUUUGACUCAACACGGGGAAACUUACCAGGUCAAAACAUGGGUGUGAUGGACAGAUUGAGAGCUCUUUCUUGAUUCUAUGGGUGGUGGUGCAUGGCCGUUCUUAGUUGGUGGAGCGAUUUGUCAGGUUAAUUCCUUUAACGAACGAGACCUUAACCUGCUAACUAGUGCCCUGUCUCCACAUGGGCCACUUCUUAGAGGGACUAUGCGAGUUUAUCGCAUGGAAGUUUGAGGCAAUAACAGGUCUGUGAUGCCCUUAGAUGUCCUGGGCCGCACGCGCGCUACAAUGGCACAUGCAACGAGUGUUCUGAUCAGAAAUGAUUGGGCAAUCUGCGAGGGUGUGCCGUGAUGGGGAUCGAUCUUUGCAAUUGUGGAUCGUGAACGAGGAAUUCCUAGUAAGCACAAGUCAUCAGCUUGUGCUGAUUACGUCCCUGCCCUUUGUACACACCGCCCGUCGCUCCUACCGAUUUUGAGUGAUCCGGUGAACCUUCUGGACCGAGCUUGCUGGAAAGUUAAUUAAACCCGAUCACUAGAGAAGAGAA